UUAGUGUUAGUAAGAGGAAGAGGAGUGGAGAGAAAACCAGAAAAAUAGAAGGCAUUUGGAGGAGGCUAGGUCUUGAAGAGGAGAGCAAGCUUAGAGAAAUCUCAAUCCAAGUGCUAGGGUUGUAGAGUUUUCUUCAAUCCAAACAAGGUGAUUCGCAUUGAGAGGAGGUUAGCCGAGUUGGUUUUGAGUCGUUGUCGCUCUGAUACGUAGCACUCGGGGGGGACGAACGAGUUGAUUUACUUGCUUUUGGAUUUUUAUGUUUUGGCAUACACUUGAGUUAUUUGUUUGAGAUUGUCGCUUUAAAGUGCUUUAAUUGUUGAAUUAAGAUGCUAUGAAAUCUUGAACUAAUUGUUGAGUUUCCGUUGCACUUCUAUGGAAGUUAAUUCAUGUUAAAGACUAUUAUUUGAUGUUUUCAGUCCUUCUGUAUUUGUGAAUGCUAUGUAUCCGCUUUAUGCGACGAGGUGAAUUGUUUUUGAGGAUGAUUAUGUGAUACCUCAAUUGUUUGUUUAUGAA